AAUUCGAUGAUACGCGAGGAACCUUACCUGGGCUCAAAUGUAUGUUGACGUAUUCUGAAAGGGAUACUUCUUCGGACAAUAUACAAGGUGCUGCAUGGUUGUCGUCAGCUCGUGCCGUGAGGUGUCGGGUUAAGUCCCAUAACGAGCGCAACCCCUGCUAUCUCGUUGCCAGCAAGUGAUGUUGGGGACUCAGAUGGAACUGCCGGUGACAAACCGGAGGAAGGUGGGGACGACGUCAAGUCAUCAUGGCCCUUAUGUCCAGGGCGACACACGUGCUACAAUGGCCGGCACAACGGGAAGCGAGUUCGCGAGGACGAGCGGAUCCCUUAAAGCCGGUCGCAGUUCGGAUUGAAGUCUGCAACUCGACUUCAUGAAGCUGGAAUCGCUAGUAAUCGCAGAUCAGCCAAGCUGCGGUGAAUACGUUCCCGGGCCUU
rnacentral:rRNA from 1 species